CGCGUAGGCGGUCUCUUAAGUCAGAUGUGAAAGCCCGGGGCUCAACCCUGGAAGUGCAUUUGAAACUAAGGGACUUGAGUAUGGGAGAGGGAAGUGGAAUUCCUGGUGUAGAGGUGAAAUUCGUAGAUAUCAGGAGGAACACCGGUGGCGAAGGCGACUUCCUGGACCAAUACUGACGCUGAGGCGCGAAGGCGUGGGGAGCAAACA
rnacentral:rRNA from 1 species